AAUGAACGCUGGCGGCAGGCCUAACACAUGCAAGUCGAACGGAUCCUUCGGGAUUAGUGGCGGACGGGUGAGUAACGCGUGGGAACAUACCCUUUGGUACGGAAUAGCCUCGGGAAAGUGGGAGUAAUACCGUAUGUGGUCGAGAGACGAAAGAUUUAUCGCCAAAGGAUUGGCCCGCGUUGGAUUAGGUAGUUGGUGGGGUAAUGGCCUACCAAGCCGACGAUCCAUAGCUGGUUUGAGAGGAUGAUCAGCCACACUGGGACUGAGACACGGCCCAGACUCCUACGGGAGGCAGCAGUGGGGAACCUUAGACAAUGGGGGAAACCCUGAUCUAGCCAUGCCGCGUGAUCGAUGAAGGCCUUAGGGUUGUAAAGAUCUUUCAGGUGGGAAGAUAAUGACUGUACCACCAGAAGAAGCCCCGGCUAACUCCGUGCCAGCCGCCGCCGUAAGAC
rnacentral:rRNA from 1 species